CGCAAGCACGUGAUCGAGCCUCGCAAUCCCGAGACGUAUUUCGCGCUGAGAGGCGAUCCAACCAAGAACAAGUCGCGUCCUGAUUUCGUAAAGGACAGGAGACGAGUGAAGCGUGAGUACGACGAGUUCAAAGUCAGGAUCAACGGCCUACCUGAGGCGAUCCGGCGGAGGUCCGAUGCCUACAAUGCGCACGAGGAGAUCAAAGCCAAGCGAGCACAGAUCGAGAGCGGCAGAGACGUGACAGAGCCUCUCAACAUCCCAAAAGCGACCUGGA
rnacentral:lncRNA from 1 species